UACGUAGGGGGCAAGCGUUGUCCGGAAUCAUUGGGCGUAAAGAGCGCGUAGGCGGCCCAGUAAGUCCGCUCUGAAAGUCAGAGGCUCAACCUCUGGAUGCGGGUGGAUACUGCUGGGCUAGAGUACGGAAGAGGCGAGUGGAAUUCCUGGUGUAGCGGUGAAAUGCGCAGAUAUCAGGAGGAACACCAAUUGCGAAGGCAGCUCGCUGGGACGUUACUGACGCUGAGACGCGAAAGCGUGGGGAGCAAACAGG
rnacentral:rRNA from 1 species